rnacentral:rRNA from 1 species
UAAGGAAUAUUGGUCAAUGGACGCAAGUCUGAACCAGCCAUGCCGCGUGGAGGAUGAAGGUCCUCUGGAUUGUAAACUUCUUUUCUCUGGGGCGAAAACCUCCCAUUCUUGGGAGCUUGACAGUACCAGAGGAAUAAGCACCGGCUAACUCCGUGCCAGCAGCCGCGGUAAUACGGAGGGUGCAAGCGUUAUCCGGAUUCACUGGGUUUAAAGGGUGCGUAGGCGGGCAGGUAAGUCAGUGGUGAAAUCUCUGAGCUUAACUCAGAAACUGCCGUUGAUACUAUCUGUCUUGAAUACUGUGGAGGUAAGCGGAAUAUGUCAUGUAGCGGUGAAAUGCUUAGAUAUGACAUGGAACACCUAUUGCGAAGGCAGCUUGCUACACAGUAAUUGACGCUGAGGC